rnacentral:rRNA from 1 species
UACGGGGGGGGCAAGCGUUGUUCGGAAUUACUGGGCGUAAAGGGUUUGUAGGUGGCUUGUUAAGUCAGACGUGAAAUCCCUCAGCUUAACUGGGGAACUGCGUCUGAUACUGGCGAGCUUGAGUGCAGGAGAGGAACGCGGAAUUCCAGGUGUAGCGGUGAAAUGCGUAGAUAUCGGAAGGAACUCCGGCGGCGAAAGCGAUGCACUGGCUGAUUUCUGACGCUGAGGUGCGAAAGCCAGGGGAGCAAACGGG